UACGGGGGGGGCAAGCGUUGUUCGGAAUUACUGGGCGUAAAGGGCUCGUAGGCGGCCAACUAAGUCGGAUGUGAAAUCCCCAGGCUUAACCUGGGAACUGCAUCCGAUACUGGAUGGCUUGAAUUCGGGAGAGGGAUGCAGAAUUCCAGGUGUAGCGGUGAAAUGCGUAGAUAUCUGGAGGAAUACCGGUGGCGGAGGCGGCAUCCUGGACCGAGAUUGACGCUGAUGAGCGAAAGCUAGGGGAGCAAACGGG
rnacentral:rRNA from 1 species